UCGAAGGAGCGAGACGGCGAGUUGUGUGAGAAUUUUGGGGAGCUUGGUCUAAAAGGGUCUUUACGAACCCCGUGGAAAAUAUGUUUGGCCCAGUUCUGGAGAGGAUUUCGCUUCUGUUGGAAGCCAUCCCUCAAAAGCAAACAUGCAGUGGAAGAAAUGAAUCACAGCAACGGUGCAAGGCCCACUCGAGCACGCUCCGCUAUCAGAGGAAAAACAAAAUCGCCACAUUAGCCUUAUCACACACGACAACCAGCGGCUCUUUCUGAGACGGACGUGGGGAAGAGGAUGGUCCACUGGCUCCCCCUGCGGCAGCUUUGCUGGUCAUACUUCAGCUGCUUGCACAUUCCAGGAAAGGCAGAAGGUAUCAGGAUGCUGUUCACAUAGCUAUGCAACUGAUUUGAAGAUACUUCAGUCUCCUUUCCCAGGAUGGCUUCCAACAAGGCAUCAUGAAUGAAAAUGUACUGCUCCUAAAAGGGCACUUGUGGUCACUGAGAAACCCGAAUAUUAAGAUCUGCACAGAAAUGGAAGACCGGUCCUAAGAGUAGACCACGGUCAGCCUAUCUUCUGCUCACAACCUUGUUCAAGCUCUAUGAGAAUACAUCUGUCUCCUCAGUAUCGUUCAACUCUCAGUCCCAGGGCGUGCUGGCAUCCCAGGAGGGCCCUGCCGGAGACUGCUUACCUCUGUCUGGACGAGGUAGUUGCGCUGUGUCCUGAUAUGCUUCAGGAAUCCCAGGACG